GCCCUAAUAGCUUAAUUCCCAAAGCACUGGCCUUGUAAACCAGAGACUGAAAUUUAAAACCUUCUUAGGGCU
rnacentral:tRNA from 1 species